GUGCGGUCUCGUGGCUAGCACUUUGGCUGUGACCUGUGUGUCGUAGUCACAUCACAGUCAGAGUUCUAGCUACGCGGCUGUGU
rnacentral:pre_miRNA from 1 species